GAUGAACGCUGGCGGCGUGCCUAAUACAUGCAAGUCGAGCGAACGGACGAGAAGCUUGCUUUUCUGAUGUUAGCGGCGGACGGGUGAGUAACACGUGGAUAACCUACCUAUAAGACUGGGAUAACUUCGGGAAACCGGAGCUAAUACCGGGGAAUAUUUUGAACCGCAUGGUUCAAAAGUGAAAGACGGUCUUGCUGUCACUUAUAGAUGGAUCCGCGUUGCAUGAGCUAGUUGGUAAGGUAACGGCGUACCAAGGCAACGAUGCAUAGCGGACCUGAGAGGGAGAUCGGCCACACGGGAACAGAGGCAGGGCCCAGACUCCUACGGGAGGCAGCAGUAGGGAAUCUUACGGAAUGGGGGAAAGCCUGACGGAGCAAAGCGGAGUGAGUGAUGAUGGUGUUAGGAUCGUAAAGCUCUGUUAUUAGGGAAGAAGAUAUGUGUAAGUAACUGUGCACAUCUUGACGGUACCUAAUCAGAAAGCCCCGGCUAACUACGUG
rnacentral:rRNA from 1 species